ACUACUGCAUUCCUGCUGUGACUCCUCUACUCUUCCUCUCAGCUCUUUCCUGCUGGGAUAUCUUCUAUUUUUCACAUCUCAACUGUGAGGAAAUUCAAGGUAACUUCACUGUAGUGGGGCCAUCUUUGUAUCAUAACACAAAUAAUACAGCAUUUGAAUGUUUCUUGUGAUCAAGAAGUGAGAUUAUGUGAAUACUUGUGGCACAAGCAGGAUUAAGUAAGUGCUUGGGCCAUACCUAAUUAACUGCAGGGAGAACAGGAAUCCAUCUCCUGCCAAAAUGCCAUACACCAUCUGGGAAAAGCUUCCUUACAGAAAUCAGUGGGUUAUUCAUGUGGUACUCAGCAAAUAUAAAAUUCAUGCUGCAUGUCACUGCUAGAUUUCUCACAAGUCUUACUCUGUAGGGUAGUAUUUGAGUUUGAAUUGUUAAUGCUUGCAAGAUGUGCAAUCACUUUGCCUUGUGAUAAAAGGGUUUUAAUGAUUGCAAUGUAUCUCUUUUUUACAUUUUUUUCUAAUAAUUCUGGGUAUUUAAUUUUAAAUAUCUCACUGAAGUUUUUGAAAUAAGGCUAUUUCAAUUUGUUCCAGUCCUCUGUCAUUGAAUCCUACCUCUGUUACACAUCAUGCUUAAUGAAAGAUCUCAGUUCUCAUCUAUUACUCUGAGUGACUUUUCCUAACAAGGGGUUAAAUACCUUAUGAAUUGGCUUCACUAACCCUCUGACUCAAUAUAGGAGAAAAAGAAAACAGAAAAAUCAUACCCAUCUGGAAGAACACAAGCCUCUCAAGCUAAAAUUUCUAAGCAAAAGGCUCUCGGAUACUGAAGGAAGGGAAGGGCUUCCUUCUUAUGUUCACACAACCUGAAUAAAACAAGUCGUUAAUAAUACAACUUGGAAAAAAUAGUCAUUAAAUAUUUGCAAUCCAUGAUAAUAAAUUUAAAUUCUACUUUCUAUUUCCCUUUAACAUUCCCAACUUCCCAAAGCACUUGAGCUACUAAAUCUGACCAAAAGGUUUCAUACAUAAGAAAAUAACUAGACAGCUUUCCUACUAUGUAAUUCUCAACUUUUCUCUCCCCAAAAGAAUUAAGAAAAUUAAUCUCAUGCAAAUCAAUGGAGUCCAGUAAAGUUACACUGGGGAUUAAUUACGUAUGUCAUCUGCUUCUCAAGCAGCUCAUUGAUAUUGUAUCUCAAAGAAAACACAACUUUAACAACAGGCCUUUUCUGUUAUUCUACUUUCUCAUUAAAAAGAUAUCAACCACAUUCAUUAUUUAGUAUUCUAUAGUGAGUAGACCUGUUAGUCUGUAUGUGCUCUAUAAUUCAUCAUAUACUAAUGAUCAACCACCUUCUCUCAUGUUACCAGAACAACAAAAAUAUCUGUGUAUGUCCAGCAAGAGCUGGGAAGAGCUCCAGCCAAGAAGGCAAGGGAGAAACAGCCCAAAACAUCUCAGAUGUACUUGCUGAUGCAUGUGAUAAGAGGCUAUAUAUUCUCUAGAGGUCACAUGGUGUCUUUGUCAUUUGUACACUAAUUAACCCUCAACCCCAAAAUUCAAGUGAAAUUAAGACAUCCUGCAGCUUUUCAAAGAACACCACCAGUAAAGACGAGCGAUGAGGCUGUCCAACAUAAGAAGAAUUCCUGACAAAAAUAAGAGUGUUAUGAAAUUCACUGUUGAGAUAUUCUGAUUUCCUUAGAAAACAGCACCACCAUAAUGAUUUCAGCAGGUGAAAUAUAAUUUAAAUGAGUAUUUAGUUUCUUUAGUUUAGGUUCUUACUUGAUGGGCAACCUCUUCAUCUAAAACUGCUUUUCAGAAAAUAUUCAACUCUGUAUCCUAGACUUCUCUCAUUAAAAGCUCUUACCAGAAAAUUAAAAAGACUGCCUGUUUCACAAGGACAGGUACUACAUUAUGGUUCUGUAUAAUAUCAGUGAGGAUACCAGUAGUUUUGAAGUACAUAGUGGAAGCUGACGUCUGGCAGCUGCCUUGUCUCUGUUGUCUCUGUUAUUCACCUCCAUUUUUUUAACAGGAUCUCCUUUCAGUUGAGUAGCUUAGGAACCCAAAACGUAAAAUGAGACUUGAGAGAAGUCAGCUGCUAAUAAAAGGUUCCACUGUCCUUUCUUGCUGACCCAAUAAUUUAAAUGCAAGCAAGUCUGAUGUGGUAUCAGAGAAAGCCUUAAUUGAGGUGUACUUAUACUUACUCAUUAAAAACAAGUAAGUUUCAGUAGACUGCUUCUUGGAAAUGCUGUGAUAUACAUCUUCGGAUACAAAUGUGUUUCUUACAUUAUUUUAAGCAAAGCCUGUAUUCCUCUCUGAAAGAAAAAAGUCCCGCACUAGUGUUUGUUUCACUGCUAUCCAAUCAUUGUGUUAACAAAACAAGUGACUGAAAUGAAAAUCCCUUCUUUGGGACAAGGAGAAUCUGGAACCUUCUGACUCAUGGAUCUCAUUUUUUAAAUACCAAAAACAAGUCCCAGAUAUAUAUUUUUUCAGCUUAAGAAGUGAAACCUAGAAUUUGAAGAUGUAAAAGUGAACAUUAACGUUUUUCCCCAUGACUUCUUAUAUUCUCUGAAUCAUGUAGCAAGUAAUUGAAUUUUUUCAUACUACCUUCAUUUAUGGGAAAUAUAACUUAAACAUUUUACAGAGCAUACUGAAACCUCUUUAGGAAACUUGCAAUUCAAGAAUUAUAUUUUAUUUUAUUACUAGCCUAGGCUGAUAAUUGUGUCUGAUCCUCAUCUAGAAGCAAAAAUUUUCAGGUUUUUCACUAGAAUAAAACCUUAUUAACAGCAACUCCUAAAAUAUAUCCAAGAAAAGAGAGGUUAAGGCUUUUGUGUCCCCUUUGCAUACAGGUUUAGGGUAGGAAAUUGGUUCCUUCUCAGAAGCAUUUUACACAACGAUUAAUUCAGUCCCUGGGAGGGAGGUACUGCGAAAGUGUUCCAGGGUACAUUUAAAAUGCCCCCUGUUCUCCCUGAAAGAUUAUCUUUGCUAGCUUGCAUCCAAGCUGUGUAUGCAAAUGAAAGAAGUGCUGACUGUACCAAAAGGCUCCACUAUACUUUGCCUUUAUUGUCUUCAGUUUCUGGGCUGGCAGGAUUAUUUAAGGAAUACUGCAGUUUUGACUUCCACAGAGAGAGUAGCACUAAGGAGGAAGAAGAAAUCAGCUUUAGUUGGCACCACCAUCCAUUAUGUUAAUAUUCACAGAGACAGGAUCAGUUACUCCUUAUAAAAGCACUGCCUGUUACACCCAUUUUAAACACUGCAAGCUGCUCAUUGUAAAUGGCAAAUAAAACCCAGAAGUACAAUUAGUGUGCAUAGUAUGAUAUUUCAGUGAAUUGUCUAUGAUACAUAUGAAGUAGGGGAGAAAACCCCAAGCAUACAGGGAUUCUUUGGGGAAUUCUAGCCAUUCUAGGCUUAGAAAAUGCAAUCUGUUACCACAGUUUCCAUUUCAGACCAUAGAAAAUUGUAAAAACUGUAAAGCGCCUAUUAAUAGGUGGUUCAGCAAGAAAUUGUGGUUAAGGAGGGCACCAUGUGGGAAAGCACAGAUGAAUAUUCUUCCACUGCACAUUCCAGCUCUGACUCAGAAGCUCAUCACAACAGAAAACAUGUUUUUUUAUAAUUCCUUGUGCAAAUUAACUGACAUCUGCCUUCAAAACACUCCAACAUUGCAUCUUGGUGGCUUA
ensembl:lncRNA